CCUAUUGCUCCAAUUACAUUUUAUUCACCCCACCCCCAAACACAAUAUAAAUAAAAAGUUGUUUCAAAGUAGAAAUUGAACGGGAACGUUGAACCGGCUCAGGUGAUUGGAAGUGAGGGCCUCCGUCACACUCACAGUCAGCAUCGAAGAUCGGAGACGAGGCAUGAGUUGUGUGCUAACUACUACUCUUCAAACCAAACACGCAUCGCCACAAAACCCCAUCAGCGGCGCAAUUUAGCAUCAAUCCGAUACGACGCCGUGUGGAGCACGAUGGAGAAGAUGCAGCACGCGGAGGAGCUUGUGAGGGAGUUUCUGGUGUUCCGCGGCUUCACCAACACCCUCGAAUCCUACGAGGCCGAAUUGCGCACCGACAUCGGAAAAGGAUUCGAGGUCGACAAGAUCCUCGACCUAAUCUUCUCCCUCUACGUCCCCAAGUUCCACGCCGAUAGCCUCCUCGCGCUCCUCGCUUUCUUCAAGCACUACCUCUCUUCCUCCUCCGACGCGCCGCUUGCCUCCACGCUCUCUAAGUUGGAGACUUCUCUUCUACGCUUCUACGUCGUCCACGCCGUCCAGUGCAACCGCAACGACAAAGUCGUCGACUUCUUCACGCUCUACGGCGCCGAAUUGCUGCAGAGGUCCCAAGAUUGGACUAACUGGUUCGCUAUUCCUUAUAAGAAGAAUCCACACUUGGAUCCCGAGUUUCGGGUUUUUUUCUCCAAGGAGUGGUAUCAGGCUUUGCAUCUUUCUUCUAGAAACUUCUUCAGCGAGGUCUUCAAUGCUACUCGUUUACCUGCGCUGCUGAAGGUUAGUUCAGAGAUGAAUGCUACUAACCUACUCAAACGAGAUAUUGUACAUUUAAAUCUUAAGUUGUCGCAGCUUCAGGCUUCGCUUGAUGAGAAAGAGGUGCAGUUACGCCAAUUUAGAAGUAUGGAAGGGGGGAGUACUGGUUCAUCGAGCACUUUGCGUGAAAAAACUGCUCGUAUGUCAAAAGAUUCUCCGGAGGUUUUUCCAGCUGGUGUUGCACGAGUAGGUCUAACAGAGAGUAGUCAAGAUUCAGUUGCGGGUGGAUUGGGGAAUAUUCACUCCGAGUUGAUUGGCUCCACGUCUGGCGAUGAUUCAGCUUUUCUAUCAAAUGACCAUCUGAGGAAUGGUGGAGCUGACAAUGCAGGUGUAAAAGAAAAUGAUGGGGAAGUUUAUGGGGAAGAAUAUUUUUCUGAGGUCCAAGUAGAGCACCAGGAGACAUUUUUGGGGCACACCAGUCCAAUCAGUCGAUGUCGCUUCUCUGCAUCUGGAAACAAUAUUGCCAGUGCUUCUCUGGAUGGAACUGUCAGGAUAUGGACAUAUGAUACAUCAACUCCAGUGUCUAGAAAUGCAACCAUAUAUUGUGGCACUGAAAUUUUGUCACUUGACUGGGAAUGUAAAUCAGACCGCUUGCUUCUCAUAGGUACGUCUGAUGGGUGCAUUAAGGCAUGGAAUGUGGAUGCAAAGAGAGUUGUCUGUGACCUCAACACAACCGAAGCAUUUCCAAGUGUAUUGGACAUAAAGUGCAGUCCAGUGGAACCUAUUUUUGUGUCUGCUGCAGCAUCUGGAGGGGCUGGUUCUAACUAUAUUGACCACCUGGGUUUUGCUUCACUAACUGUGUGGAACAUGAAGACGUGGAAAGCCAUGUCCUUCCUCUUGGAGAAGAUCCGCCAGCAAUUACUUCUCUAUGCUUUAAUCACAAUGGAAAGAUUUUGGCAGCUUCUGCUGUUGAUGGAAUGAUUCACAUGUUUGACAUGUCUGCUGGUCUACAAAUCACUGGCUGGCCAGCACAUGAUUCUUCCAUCAGUUCUAUUCUGUUUGGACCAGAUGAGACUAGCAUUUUUAGCCUGGGCUGUGAUGGGAAGAUUUUUGAGUGGAGUUUGCAAAAUCAAGGUCAAAUCCUGUGGUCAAGAGACUGUAGUAGGUUCUGUUACCCCCUCAAUGAUUCAAAAUAUUGCAGACAUGAGAUGGCAUUAGAUGCAAAUGGGAGGAGACUCUUGGUAACAUCCAGUUCAUUUAGAGCACCCAUAUACCAGGUUCAUGGUCAUUUGAGUGGAUGGAGAACACUUCCGCAUGGUGCUCCUAUUACUGCUGUGGAUUGGCAUCCAACCCUGCCCAUUUUUUUGACUGGAUCAGCUGAUAACUCUGUCCGAGUAACAUCUUUAUCAUAGCACCACGUUGUAACAUGGAGUUUUUCAUCAUUCUUUCUUGAGACUUCAUUAGAUUUUUUGUUGUAAUAUACUGUUGCUCUCUCUCUCUCUUGAUUGACUGAUAGAAAGAUAGAUAAAAGUUACUAACUGAUCUUAUACUGUUGGUAUGUUUUGGAGUCUGCAGGAAGGAUGUACAUCUGUACAUAUUUAUGCAAUGGGCUUGGAUGUCUAUUUAUACUUGAGUAAAAAAUCAAUUUGAUCAAAUUGACAUCACUAGUCAAUUUGGUCUCAUUACCAGA